UUUUGCGAUGAAAUCAUGCUCUAUGCUUCGAAACAGAAUGUUGGCGGAUCCAUCUUUCUUGUUCAAAAUCGGAACAGAGAUAAUUAUUGAUUCUUGUUGUGCUACAUUUGCGGAAAUUCAAAAGAGGGGUAAUGACUUCUGGGCAGAGUUUGAACUGUUUGUUGCUGACCUUUUGGUUGGUGUCGUGGUAAACGUUGCUUUGGUUGGCAUGCUGGCACCCUAUGUACGUAUUGGGCAACCAUCUGUAUCUAAAGGGUUAUUUGGACGGCUAUUACAUGCUUAUGGAGCUCUUCCUAGUAGUGUCUUUGAAGCCGAAAGGCCUGGAUGUAGAUUCUCUGUACAGCAGAGAAUUGCAACAUACUUCUACAAGGGAGUCCUUUAUGGAUCUGUUGGCUUUGCAUGUGGCCUUAUUGGCCAAGGAAUUGCAAAUCUCAUAAUGACUGCCAAGCGGAGCAUAAAAAAAUCA
rnacentral:misc_RNA from 1 species